rnacentral:lncRNA from 1 species
AUGAUGUGGGCCCAGGCUUUCCCUGGUGGUGCAGGGACAUGGUGGGUUUUGUGGCAUCACACAAGUGCGUCCUUGCUUAAAACCUCCAGGCUUGCGUUGCACCCAAAGCUACAGCUCAUGCCUCCCCAGCCAGGUCCAAAGCAGGUGACUUCAGGUCAGCAGCUGGGACUCGUUCCCCUUCUCUGUUCUCUUGCAGGUCUUCAGCAAGCCCUUCAGCCCCCUGCACUCAGGGAGCAGCACUGCGCACCACAGCCCUGGCUCUGGCAGCCCCUGGGGCCACGGGCCAGGGCUGAGCACCUUGGUGUUCUUCGACUUGAAGGUCGACCAGAAAACUCAGCAGAUCACGCAGAUAGCAGCAGCCAAUGGAGAUCACGCCUUCAAGACACUGAUCCAGACGCCCGAGUCAGUGCUCACACUGCUCUCUCAGGGCGUCCCCCUGGAGACUGCAAUGGAGCAGCUCCUCUGGUACCUCCACUCUGUCCCCAGGCCCAUCCUGGUCGUCUAUAACUUCUGGGCACCGGAGCUGCCCACUCUCUUUAAAGCCCUGGAUGCCACAGCCAGGAAAGUAGACUUCUGCCACACUGUGGGUGGUUACUUGGACAUGUUGCCCAUGAUCAAAGAGAAGUUUCCCAAGGCACCUUCCUACAAGCUGAAGAGCCUGCUGAGAAAACACCUUCAGCAGCAGCUGAAUGAAGGCAGCGCCCUGGCGACAGUGAAGGCACUGCAGGGUCUGGGUGAAGCCCUGGAGCUGUUUGCCUGCCCCAGUCCAGGGCCUGUGCUCACACACUGCAACCUGCAGAGUUACACGAUCUUGCGGACUCUGAUGCAGGAAAAGCUCCUCACCAAAAGAGCUGCCAAGAUCCUGGCCAGGCGCAACCUCAUCCUCUGGGAGCUGGAGCAGGCAUAGGCAGCAGGAGGGCCCCAGUGGGGCUACAGCACCAGAGCUGUUGCACUGUGGUGUGGGCUGGCCAGGUCUCAAGCUAACCCCGUCACGGAUGCUCACUCUGGCUUCCUGAAGAGCCACCAAGGAGCCGAGCACACCUAGCUUCUGCACAGAGCAUCCCCUGCACUGCAGUUUCCGGCAUCCUAUGCAUUAACCAGGGUUCACUGUUCCCUACAAGUUCCUGAACCCUUCUAUUCCUGGCAUGGGGCAUAAGAGGGAUCAGGGCUCCAGGUCAACUCUAAGGGGAACAAACAACCCCACUGAAUUAACACCUUUAUAAAAUAAAUUAUGCAGC